rnacentral:rRNA from 1 species
AUUGAACGCUGGCGGCAGGCUUAACACAUGCAAGUCGAGCGGAGCGGCGGACGGGUGAGUAAUGCCAUGGAAUCUGCCUGGUCGUGGGGGAGAACGUCCGGAACCGGGCGCUAAUACCGCAUACUAUCAGAUGAGCCUAGGUCGGUUUAGCUAGUUGGUGGGGUAAAGGCAUACCAAGGCGACGAUCCGUAACUGGUCGGAGAGGAUGAUCAGUCACACUGGCACUUGUACACGGUCCAGACUCCUACGGGAGGCAGCAGUGGGGAAGUUUGGACAACGGGCGAAAGCCUGAUCCAGCCAUGCCGCGUGUGUGAAGAAGGUCUUCGGAUUUUAAAGCACUUUAAGUUGGGAGGCGUUACCAACAGAAUAAGCACCGGCUAACUCCGUGCCAGCAGCCGCGGUAAUAC